AUUACAGUAUUUCAGGAGACUUUCUGAACUUGCCAGGCAACCCUCCCCCUCGACUUUGGGGACAGAGGAACUUAAAUUUAUAUUUUCAGUGUCACACAAGGAGAUAGUAUGGAGCUGGCUGCUUUACACAAGUAAUGAAAAUCGAUGCUGUGUUGCUCUUGGAAGGAGUGCUCAAAAGGAGAAAAGCCUGGCAUAUACAUCUUGGUUUAGAGACAGAUUUUACCUGGGAAGAAUGUGUCCAGGAGAAGGAGAAGAGGUGAUGCUAAAAGCCAGCUUCCUGACCUCCAGACUGGAACUGAAGCUCUGUAACAAGGGAAACAGCUGUAUUUAUGCAUGA
rnacentral:lncRNA from 1 species